UGGAAUUGUACGCUAGCAUUGCUGUUCUA
rnacentral:sRNA from 1 species